UGCUGCAGCCUCCGUCCACAUUCCUGGGCAGAGGUGUUACCUCCCCCUCCCCCUCCUGGCUCAGGUGACAGGCUCUCAGGUCUCCCAUCCCCAGGGCACAUUCCCAGGUCAACACUCCCCCCUCCCUGCUGAGUCACAUCGUCACAUCUCUCCCCCCUUCGAGACUGAACUGAGCGGGGUCACUGUGACC